AGUGAACGCUGGCGGUAGGCCUAAUACAUGCAAGUCGAACGGCCGCACAGUAAGCGCUUGCUCUUGAGGUUGGCGAGUGGCGGACGGGUGAGGAAUACAUAGGCAUCUACUUUUUCUUGGGGGAUAACGUGGGGAAGCUUAUGCUACUGCCGCAUACGGCCUACGGGUUAAAGCAGGAGAUAUUCAGAGCUUGCGCGUUACAAUGAGCCGGUGUCGGAUUAGCUAGUUGGCUAGGUAAAGGCCUACCAAGGCAACGAUGCGUAGCUGAUCUGAGAGGAUGAUCAGCCACACUGGAACUGAGACACGGUCCAGACUCCUACGGGAGGCAGCAGUAGGGAAUAUUCGACAAUGGGCGAAAGCCUGAUCCAGCCACACCGCGUGGGUGAAGAAGGUCUUCGGAUCGUAAAGCCCUUUUGUUAGGAAAGAAAAUCAGCAUGUUAAUACCCCGAUGUUCUGACGGUACCCAAAGAGUAAGCACCGGCUAACUACGUG
rnacentral:rRNA from 1 species